CGCCCGGCCCGCGUGCGAAUCUCCGCGCGUGCGUGCUUCGUUCCAGCCCGACGAAUGACGCCACCUAGAGCUCGCGGUGGGCAACGCGCAACUACUCCCGUGGUGCGCAUGCGAGCUGAGCGGGCCGAAACCUGGCGGGGAAGGAGAGCUCUGGGAAUCCAGCGACGGGACCCCUGACUUUGGUGAUAGAGCUAAGCUCAAGGUCCGUGUGUCCAGCCAGACCUGCGUGGAACCUUAGGACGCCGCAUCUGCAGCUCUCCUGACCCCAGAAUGUGAGCACGGCUCGUGGAAUGUAGAUUUUGUUUUGUUUCGUUUUUGAGACAGUGUCUCACUGUGGAGUUCAGGCUUAGACGACAAACCAGUCCCAGGAUCUUGUCGGGACCCCACUAGAGCUGACACAUCUGCCCCUCCUCUCCUGGCGGGGCCCCUCCG